AACGCACAUUGCACUCUUUGGUAUUCCGGAGAGUAUGCCUGUUUGAGUAUCAGUUUAACUCUCACCUACCAAGGUUCUUGCUUAACUGCUUGAACUUUCUCAGGUGGUCUUGGGCGAUGUCUUAGUUCACUCUAAGACUUGCCUUAAAAAAAUUGUAAGCCGGGUUAAGCAAUUAUCCGAACUUAACGAUCUAAGUAAACUUAACUGUUUCUUUAAAACGUUAAUAGUAGGCGCUUAAUGGUUUCUUAACAAUUUUACUAAGCAAGGAAACUUGCUUGAACUCUUGAUCUCAAAUCAGGUAAGAUUACCCGCUGAACUUAA
rnacentral:misc_RNA from 1 species